UAUUCGUGAUUAAUUUUACAAAUUUAUUAUGUUUAUCUGUUAAAAUAUUAUGAUAUUUUAGCUUAUCAUGCAAGCUAAAUCAUUGAGAAACGUCCACCAAUUUACUAUAUAUAAGACAUUCACAGUAGAAGAAAUGAAGCAACUGACUUUUUAUUCUGAACUUUUUUAUGUUGAUAUUGUUUUUGUUAUUUUACAUCAUUAAACUUUUAUAUAUACAUAUUUCAUCAUAGCUGACUUUUCUUUUGGUUUAUAUGCAGAUGUCCUAUUAUAACGAUUUCACCACGAUGCAGGUUAAUUUUUUUAUCUCUCUAUAUGAUUUGAUUAAUCGUAGAUUUAUUUGAAGCAAGAUCAUGACCGUAAUGAAGACAUGAUCAGAAGUGCUCUUCGUGCUAUCUCAUCGUUGGAUCGAAUCAGUAGAGUGGAUUACAGCCACAAGUUCAAGAGCUUAAUGGCUGAGAUGAAGAUGUCUGAAUCAUUGUGGGGGAAGUAUCAGACAAUCCGCAAUGAGUAAAAAGAGUGUAUGUUCUGUUAUUUACAUGAUGAACCAUAAAAGCUAUCGAUGAUGUUAUAGCCUUGUUUUUUCAAUUUUAAAAUCAGCAACAAGUCUGUUCUUUUUUCUUUUUGCCUUUUAAAUUUUCUUUUUGUGGCGAGGGAUUUUAUAGCCUUGUUUUAUUUGGCUUUUCAAUGGUUGCUGUUGUGCUUUCAUACUUAUGAUCGAAUUUUAAAAACGAGUAGAAACGUUAA